rnacentral:lncRNA from 1 species
UUUAAUAAUGGCAUGCUGAGAGUUUUUGAGAUGUUAGGUGGGUUGGGUUCUUCUUCCUCCUUUUUCUUUGAGUUCAUGCCUUUUCGGAGCACAAGCAUUUGAAUAUUGGUAAGUAAUAAGUGUUCAUAUUUUGUUUUACCACCAAUUAUCCAAAUCAAAUUUGAUUGUUUUCAGCGACAAAAUCCACUUUUUUUGACUCACCAGAGUCGACAACAACACAUCAGAAUCCAACUAUACUUGUAAUCCAAGGAAGAAGAAGAAAUACAAACCUGGUGAACUUGUCAUUUGGGGAGGAGAGUAAUAAUAAAACUGGAAAUUAAUGUUAGGAGAAAUCAAUGGAUUUUGUACCACUGGCAAUAAUUAAAGAGUAGGAUUAAUCUUUUUUAUUUGCACUUCAAAUAUUAGGGUUGAAAUUUUAUUUAUUGUUAAUUUAUAAUAUAUACUUAAAAAUUUUGUAUUUUCUUUCUCCACCC